rnacentral:rRNA from 1 species
UACAGAGGUCUCGAGCGUUGUUCGGAUUCAUUGGGCGUAAAGGGUGCGUAGGUGGCGCUGUAAGUCGGGUGUGAAAUCCUGAGGCUUAACCUCGGAACUGCAUUCGAUACUGCGGCGCUCGAGGACUGGAGAGGAGACUGGAAUUCAUGGUGUAGCAGUGAAAUGCGUAGAGAUCAUGAGGAAGACCAGUGGCGAAGGCGGGUCUCUGGACAGUUCCUGACACUGAGGCACGAAGGCCAGGGGAGCAAACGGG